AAAGGAAUUGACGGGGACCCGCACAAGCGGUGGAGCAUGUGGUUUAAUUCGAUGAUAAGCGAGGAACCUCACCAAGGUUUGACAUCUAGCUGCAAGGCCUGGAAACAGGUCCGCCUUCGAGGGAGCUAGACAGAUGCUGCAUGGUUGUCGUCAGCUCGUGUCGUGAGAUGUACCGUUAAGUCGGAAAACGAGCGCAACCCUGAUCUUAUGUUUUAUAUGUCAUGAGAGACUGCCCGUUUUAAAUGGGAGGAAGGUGGGAUGACGUCAAAUCAGCAUGGUUCUUACACCUUGGGCAACACACGUGCUACAAUGGGGAGUACAAAGGGACGCCAAACCGUAAGGUGGAGCAAACCCCUAAAAACUCUCCUCAGUUCGGAUUGAGGUCUGCAACUCGACCUCAUGAAGCCGGAAUCGCUAGUAAUCGUGGAUCAGCUAUGCCACGGUGAAUACGUUCUCGGGUCUUGUACACACCGCCCGU
rnacentral:rRNA from 1 species